rnacentral:rRNA from 1 species
AUGGCCGUGGGCACAUCCUCUUCGAUGCUCGGCGGCGCCCUCCUCCUCCUACUUGUCCUCUCCACGGCCAUUGAUGUUCACGGCGGGUCAAGCUCCAGCGCCGCGCCAUGUUCGCCGUUGGACGAGCUCUGCAUCGGCCUCGGCGGCUGCAUCGAGUCUGCGCUCGCCCAUGCCAAGAACGUCAAGGCCAGGAAGGUCAUGCGGUCGUGCCUGCAGCUCUACAUCGGCGCCGUCCCGCGGCUGCAGUGGGCGGCGCGGUCAGUCGCUGCGGGGCGAUAUAGCGGCGUUCCGGACGUGCUAGAGGCAGCCUAUAGGGACGUGUCACAUGGGUGCAGCAGCUUGGCCGGCGAGGUGGCGCUUCCCAAGGAGAACGACGAGUUCUUCAUGAUGGUCUUCGUCGUGCACGCCAUCGUCGAUCGGGUGCAGCGUAUUAUCGGCUGA